GAUGAACGCUAGCUACAGGCUUAACACAUGCAAGUCGAGGGGAAACGACAUCGAAAGCUUGCUUUUGAUGGGUGUCGACCGGCGCACGGGUGAGUAACGCGUAUCCAACCUGCCCACCACUUGGGGAUAACCUUGCGAAAGUAAGACUAAUACCCAAUGACGUCUCUAGAAGACAUCUGAAAGAGAUUAAAGAUUUAUCGGUGAUGGAUGGGGAUGCGUCUGAUUAGCUUGUUGGCGGGGUAACGGCCCACCAAGGCGACGAUCAGUAGGGGUUCUGAGAGGAAGGUCCCCCACAUUGGAACUGAGACACGGUCCAAACUCCUACGGGAGGCAGCAGUGAGGAAUAUUGGUCAAUGGGCGAGAGCCUGAACCAGCCAAGUAGCGUGCAGGAUGACGGCCCUAUGGGUUGUAAACUGCUUUUAUAGGGGGAUAAAGUGUGCCACGUGUGGUUUUUUUGCAUGUACCCUAUGAAUAAGGACCGGCUAAUUCCGUG
rnacentral:rRNA from 1 species